rnacentral:rRNA from 1 species
UACGUAGGUGGCAAGCGUUGUCCGGAAUUAUUGGGCGUAAAGCGUGCGCAGGCGGUCUCGCAAGUCCGAUGUGAAAUCCCCGGGCUCAACCUGGGAACUGCGUUGGAAACUACGAGGCUGGAGUACGGCAGAGGGGGGCGGAAUUCCACGUGUAGCAGUGAAAUGCGUAGAUAUGUGGAGGAACACCGAUGGCGAAGGCAGCCCCCUGGGCUAGUACUGACGCUCAUGCACGAAAGCGUGGGGAGCAAACAGG